rnacentral:rRNA from 1 species
CGAUUAGGGUUCGAUCCUGGCUCAGAACGAACGCUGGCGGCAGGCCUAACACAUGCAAGUCGAGCGCAGUCCUUCGGGACCGAGCGGCGGACGGGUUAGUAACGCGUGGGAAUAUGCCCUUCUCUACGGAAUAGCCUCGGGAAACUGAGAUUAAUACCGUAUACGCCCUUCGGGGGAAAGAUUUAUCGGAGAAGGAUUAGCCCGCGUAAGAUUAGAUAGUUGGUGGGGUAACGGCCUACCAAGUCUACGAUCUUUAGCUGGUUUGAGAGGAUGAUCAGCAACACUGGGACUGAGACACGGCCCAGACUCCUACGGGAGGCAGCAGUAGGGAAUCUUAGACAAUGGGCGCAAGCCUGAUCUAGCCAUGCCGCGUGAGUGAAGAAGGCCCUAGGGUCGUAAAACUCUUUCGCCAGAGAUGAUAAUGACAGUAUCUGGUAAAGAAACCCCGGCUAACUCCGUGCCAGCAGCCGCGGUAAUACGGAGGGGGUUAGCGUUGUUCGGAAUUACUGGGCGUAAAGCGUACGUAGGCGGAUUAGUAAGUUAGGGGUGAAAUCCCAGGGCUCAACCCUGGAACUGCCUCUAAAACUGCUAGUCUUGAGUUCGAGAGAGGUGAGUGGAAUUCCAAGUGUAGAGGUGAAAUUCGUAGAUAUUUGGAGGAACACCAGUGGCGAAGGCGGCUCACUGGCUCGAUACUGACGCUGAGGUACGAAAGUGUGGGGAGCAAACAGGAUUAGAUACCCUGGUAGUCCACACCGUAAACGAUGAAUGCCAGACGUCAGCAAGUAUACUUGUUGGUGUCACACCUAACGGAUUAAGCAUUCCGCCUGGGGAGUACGGUCGCAAGAUUAAAACUCAAAGGAAUUGACGG